GCUCAAAAUCGCCCUUUACACUAGCUUUUAUAAGCUUUACACAUUGCAUACAUUAGAAACCUAAAUCUAAUGGAUAGAAACACUUGAGAGAAUGAAUGGCUAGGAUGGAGCUUGGGAUUGAUCUGUGUGAUGGCUUCUCAUUGGUUCAGCUCUCUUUAGUAUCUGAUUGGUUAAUUCAAACUGGUCAAGGCAAGGGCUGGCUUCUCAUUGGCUCCUUAUAGGCUCCCAUGAAUGUUCCCAUGUAUCUGACCAGAUACAUGCUCAAGGGUGCUUCUCCUUUACAGCUCACGCCAGCUCACACCUUGCUGUCUUAUCCACAAGUGAUCCCAAGUCCUAAAGAAAGACCAUGGCGCCCCUUUGCAUCAGAAUCUCCUCUUGGCUUCUUCCCAUAAUCAGCCACACGAGUUUCUUCUUCCUUGGGGCUCAAGACAGACUUGUUCAAACUUCAGGAUGUGUACGGAUUGCUUGCACUGACCGUACAACACCCUAAUAUUGCACAAGUCCUAAAAUGUCCCAAAUGGCCAAGUUAUGCAAUAUGGUUCGACCCUGAUCCGUACUGAUCCGUACUGGUCUCCCUAUCUUUGCACACUCAACCAUUUGCUCCCAAUCACACUUCUAAGUCCCUCCUGGACUUGGCCCUAUCUUUGCACAACCCAUCUCAAUCCUACUCCUCCUUUGGCUCCAUUCUUUUCUUCAAGUUAAC
rnacentral:lncRNA from 1 species